UUGUUGUCUUGCAGCUAAAGUGCCGUUCCCUCUGACUCUGAGGUUCAAGCCGAUGUUACAGAGAGGAAUCGACCUGCUGUCCCUGGACGCCUCCUGGGUGAGCUCAGCGUCCUGGUACUUCCUGAAUGUGUUUGGCCUGAGGAGCAUGUACAGCCUCAUCCUGGGACAAGACAACGCUGCUGACCAGUCGCGGAUCAUGCAGGACCAGAUGACAGGUGCUGCCAUGGCGAUGCCUCCUGACCCCAACAAGGCUUUUAAGGU